rnacentral:rRNA from 1 species
CCUACGGGGAGCAGCAGUGGGGAAUAUUGGACAAUGGGCGAAAGCCUGAUCCAGCCAUGCCGCGUGUGUGAAGAAGGCCUUCGGGUUGUAAAGCACUUUCAGUGGGGAAGAAAGCCUUGGGGCUAAUACCCUCGAGGAAGGACAUCACCCACAGAAGAAGCACCGGCUAACUCCGUGCCAGCAGCCGCGGUAAUACGGAGGGUGCGAGCGUUAAUCGGAAUUACUGGGCGUAAAGCGCGCGUAGGCGGUCUGAUAAGCCGGUUGUGAAAGCCCCGGGCUCAACCUGGGAACGGCAUCCGGAACUGUCAGGCUAGAGUGCAGGAGAGGAAGGUAGAAUUCCCGGUGUAGCGGUGAAAUGCGUAGAGAUCGGGAGGAAUACCAGUGGAGAAGGCGGCCUUCUGGACUGACACUGACGCUGAGGUGCGAAAGCGUGGGUAGCAAACAGGAUUAGAUACCCGUGUAGUC